CCUACGGGAGGCAGCAGUGAGGAAUAUUGGACAAUGGGCGCGAGCCUGAACCAGCCAAGUCGCGUGAGGGAAGACGGUCCUAUGGAUUGUAAACCUCUUUUGUCGGGGAGCAAAAGACGCCACGCGUGGCGUUCCGAGAGUACCCGAAGAAAAAGCAUCGGCUAACUCCGUGCCAGCAGCCGCGGUAAUACGGAGGAUGCGAGCGUUAUCCGGAUUUAUUGGGUUUAAAGGGUGCGCAGGCGGAAGAUCAAGUCAGCGGUAAAAUUGAGGGGCUCAACCUCUUCGAGCCGUUGAAACUGGUUGUCUUGAGUGAGUUAGAAGUAUGCGGAAUGCGUGGUGUAGCGGUGAAAUGCAUAGAUAUCGCGCAGAACUCCGAUUGCGAAGGCAGCAUACCGGCGCUCAACUGACGCUCAUGCACGAAAGUGUGGGUAUCGAACAGGAUUAGAUACCCCUGUAGUC
rnacentral:rRNA from 1 species